GCUGUUAAGCAAAGACCUUGGGUUCUGCAGGAAUUUUUACUCCGAGCCCCAGAUUUGAUGUGGCAGAAUUUUAAUGAGAAUAAACACUCAUAUAAACAGAUCUUCCAUAGCUGCUUGUCCUGUGCAGGGUGAUGGGGUUCUGCAGCCAAUCCUGGAAGGUAUAAUUCUGGCCUCAGAUCUGGGGGUGCAUUCCUGACCUAAGGUCCAGUGCUUAUCAUGUUCAUCGUGUUAUAGAGGAUACUGAUCUGAUCCUGCCCCAUAUCAUUUACACUCUCAGGACAGAUGGCAGUGGAAUGCGCGCAGCUGAGCACACUUCAUCUGUAGCGAAUACAUGGAGAACUGGCUCACCCCUUAGUAUAUCC